UGCAGUCGAACGAAGUAGCAAUACUUAGUGGCAGACGGGUGAGUAACAUGUGGGUAUCUACCCUUUGGCCUGGAAUAACACGAGGAAACUUGUGCUAAUACCGGAUAAGUCUUUACGGAGAAAGCUUUAUGCACCAUUGGAUGAGCCCGCACUUGAUUAGUUUGUUGGUAGGGUAAUGGCCUACCAAGACUAUGAUCAAUAGCUGAUUUGAGAGGAUGAUCAGCCACAUUGGGACUGAGACACGGCCCAAACUCCUACGGGAGGCAGCAGUGGGGAAUCUUGCACAAUGGAGGAAACUCUGAUGCAGCGAUGCCGCGUGAGUGAAGAAGGCCUUUGGGUUGUAAAGCUCUUUCGUCGGGGAAGAAAAUGACUGUACCCGAAUAAGAAGGUCCGGCUAACUUCGUGCCAGCAGCCGCGGUAAUACGAAGGGACCUAGCGUAGUUCGGAAUUACUGGGCUUAAAGAGUUCGUAGGUGGUUGAAAAAGUUGGUGGUGAAAUCCCAGAGCUUAACUCUGGAACUGCCAUCAAAACUUUUCAGCUAGAGUAUGAUAGAGGAAAGCAGAAUUUCUAGUG
rnacentral:rRNA from 1 species